GGAGACGACCAUACUAGUCAGGAAACACCUGUUCUCUUUCCGACCACAGAAGUUAAGCUGAUUGGGUUGUAGGAAUAGUUCCAGAAAUGGAGUGAAACCUAUAAGUUGUCUCUC
rnacentral:rRNA from 1 species